rnacentral:rRNA from 1 species
UACGGAAGGUGCAAGCAUUAAUCGGAAUUAUUGGGCGUAAAGGGCGCGUAGGCGGAAUUGUAAGUCAGAUGUGAAAUACCGAAGCUUAACUUCGGUGCUGCAUUUGAAACUACAAUUCUAGAGGGUUGACGGAGAAAACGGAAUUCCACGUGUAGCGGUGAAAUGCGUGGAUAUGUGGAAGAACACCGGUGGCGAAGGCGGUUUUCUAGUUAAUACCUGACGCUGAGGCGCGAGAGCAAGGGGAGCAAACAGG